rnacentral:rRNA from 1 species
GACGUAGGGCGCGAGCGUUGUCCGGAUUUAUUGGGCGUAAAGAGCUCGUAGGCGGCUUGUCGCGUCGACCGUGAAAACUCGCAGCUCAACUGCGAGCCUGCGGUCGAUACGGGCAGGCUAGAGUUCGGUAGGGGAGACUGGAAUUCCUGGUGUAGCGGUGAAAUGCGCAGAUAUCAGGAGGAACACCGGUGGCGAAGGCGGGUCUCUGGGCAAUAACUGACGCUGAGGAGCGAAAGCGUGGGGAGCGAACAGG